AUCCCUUGACAUCCUGCGAACUUUCUAGAGAUAGAUUGGUGCCUUCGGGAACGCAGUGACAGGUGCUGCAUGGCUGUCGUCAGCUCGUGUCGUGAGAUGUUGGGUUAAGUCCCGCAACGAGCGCAACCCUCGUCGUUAGUUGCUAACAGUUCGGCUGAGAACUCUAACGAGACUGCCUACGCAAGUAGGAGGAAGGUGAGGACGACGUCAAGUCAUCAUGGCCCUUACGACCAGGGCUACACACGUGCUACAAUGGGGUAUACAAAGAGCAGCAAUACGGUGACGUGGAGCGAAUCUCAAAAAUGCCUCCCAGUUCGGAUUGUAGUCUGCAACUCGACUACAUGAAGUUGGAAUCGCUAGUAAUCGUAGAUCAGCUAUGCUACGGUGAAUACGUUCCCGGGUCU
rnacentral:rRNA from 1 species